GAAAAUAUUAGUCUUGGAUUUUAACAUUGAAUUCCUAGCUCUAUUUUAGCUCAACAUUUGGAGACUUUAGCUUUUGAAAAAAGCAAGACAAAAGUAAAAUGUGAGUUGACCUAAAUAUUGUUUUCUCUGUAUUCAGGAAGGUAAAGACAAAAAAUUCCUCAUCACCCAACUGCAGUAUUGGUAUGAGGAAAAUAAUCCAAAUUCUAGUAAGAGACAAAGGUGAACUGGGUUCACUUCCUUCUUGGAAACCUUUCUGAGGAAGAUGAUACCUCCAUGUUGUCAUGCACGCUUGUCAUUAAAUAGUGUUAUCAUCACUGAGAUGUCUAGACACUGAGAACUUCCCUCAUAAAUACCAUAGAAAAAAA